GAUGAACGCUAGCGACAGGCUUAACACAUGCAAGUCGAGGGGCAGCACGGGAGUAGCAAUACAACUGGUGGCGACCGGCGCACGGGUGAGUAACGCGUAUGCAACCUACCUAUCAGAGGGGAAUAACCCGGCGAAAGUCGGACUAAUACCGCAUAAAACAGGGGCACCGCAUGGUGAUAUUUGUUAAAGAAAUUCGCUGAUAGAUGGGCAUGCGUUCCAUUAGGUAGUUGGUGAGGUAACGGCUCACCAAGCCGACGAUGGAUAGGGGAACUGAGAGGUUGGUCCCCCACACUGGUACUGAGACACGGACCAGACUCGUACGGGAGGCAGCAGUGAGGAAUAUUGGUCAAUGGGCGGGAGCCUGAACCAGCCAAGUCGCGUGAAGGAAGAAGGAUCUAUGGUUCGUAAACUUCUUUUGCAGGGGAAUAAAGUGCAGGACGUGUCCUGUUUUGUAUGUACCCUGAGAAUAAGGAUCGGCUAACUCCGUGCCAGCCGCCGCUGUAAGAC
rnacentral:rRNA from 1 species